rnacentral:misc_RNA from 1 species
UUCCUCUUCUUCUUGAAUUUUCUUUUGUUUGUUCUCGUGGAAUGUGACAGAAAAUUCUAGCAUUUUUCGCCGGAAAAGUGGAGGUUUUGCUUAGUUUUUAUGAUCUGGUUUUUCCGUUUGUUUCACUGGGUCCGUGAAAUAUAAAAAUGGAGCAAGUUCACGAAAAGAAGCAUGUGUGCAAGUUGUGCAACAAGAGUUUCUUGAAUGGGAGGAUCUUGGGGGGUCACAUGAAGAUUCACGUGGCCAGAGAUUCAGCUAAUGAACAGGUUAAGCUUGAAAGCAGCAAUAUGGGUAUUGAUGGUUAUGGCCUAAGAGAAAAUCCCAAGAAAUCAUGGAAAUCCUCUAGCUUGAACCCUGAUGAUUUUGUCUCCGUUCAAGAGAGUUUCGAAUGCAAAGUGUGUGGCAAGCAAUUUGAGUUCCCAAGAUCUCUCCAUGGUCACAUGAGGCAUCACUCAGCGGCAGAAAGGAAAGGAAUUCGCUGCAAAGAAUGUGGGAAAGGGUUCCGGACACUAAAAUCUCUCACUGGUCACAUGAGGCUUCACGCUGAGAAGAAUAGGGUCUCCAAAGAAUCAAGGACUAGUUCAAGCCCUAACCUGGUUGUUAUGACUUUAUCAGAUACUGAGACUGUGAGUCUUGUGCGAAGGAAGAGAUCAAAUAGAAUGAGGUACAAGGUCACUCCUAAUUCUUCUUUUUCUAGCUUGAAUGAAUCUGUGCCUGGUUUCGAAGUUGAGGAAGAACUGGAAGAGGUGGCUAUGUGUUUGAUGAUGCUGUCUAGGGGUGUAUGCAAAUGGGGUGAAUUCAAAUCAAUUGGUGAGUCUUUGGAUGAUGAUUUUGUAUAUUUUGAGGCUAAAUCUUUGUACCAAAAUAAGCAGAUGGAGGGGAGAAGUGAGAAUGGAGACGAUGUUUUUGAGGAUAAUGAACCUGUCAAGAAGAAAAAACCAAGAGAACAGAAGUUAGAUCCUUAUGCUUCAGAUACUAUGAACAAGAGCUCUGAAUGUAGUGAAUGUGAUUGUGAUAUGGUGUGCAAUGGGGAAAAGGAGAUUCCAUUGGAAGUUCCUAUUGAGAAGUUUUAUCGGGGAGUUGAUUCCAAGGGCCGUAAACUGGAGGAUGAAUCUGGACUGCUUUUGUGUGAUACUGAGAUCGAGAAAGGAAUUCAUGACGAAAUGGAUAGCAGCGCCGCUGAAUCAGAAUCAAGCCAGGAGUUUACAGAAGAAGUUGGAUUGGAUCUUGCUGGUCCGGAAAAUGUAAAAUGCACUCCAAGCAAUAAACCUAUUCCUGAAGCUUGCGAUACUGAAAUGGGGAAGGAUUCUUGCACUGAGAUGAUAUGCUCUACUUCAGAUUUUGGUACUGCAGAUGAUACUAAGAACAAGAGCCAAUUCCAGUGCAGGAUCUGCAACAAGAUAUUUCCCACUUAUCAGGCACUGGGUGGUCACCAAACAUUUCAUAGAACAACAAAAAGCUCCGUUGCUUUAAAGAUUGAGGAGCACCAAGCGGGUAUUGAGACUAAUCUUUUGGCUGAAAAAUUUGACCUUGCAAACAAGCUUGUAAAGCUUGAAUGCAUUAAGGAUUCAGUGCAGGGGGAAGUAAACGAAGUAAUUAUUACGAGUUAUCAGUCAAAGAAGAGGAAGGAGCAUAAAUGCCACAUCUGCUCUAAAAAUUUUGUGUCGGGCCAAGCUUUGGGAGGUCACAAGAGGGCUCAUCAUCCUAAAGCCAGAGAAGAGCAGAAUAUGACAAUGAAACAAGAGGGUCUUGAUAUUUGUAAUGCACCUGAUAUUAGUGUCACUGACAUGCUAGAUACAGAGGCCAAUCGUGAAGUUGGUUUUGAGUCAUGGUGGGCUGGAAUUCGCAGCUACAAGCAUGAGUCACUAGCGGAUCUUAUAGCUAACUGAGGCAAAUGAUGCAGUGUCUGGCUUCUGAAGAGUUUAAAUAAAGAACUUGUCUUUGCAGUAUAUGGUGGAUUUCAUUUGUGGUCCAAAUCUACACGGAUUAGAGCUUGUCAUUGCUGCUCGUAGCUUAGAACUGCCAGCUGCCCUUAUCUGGUUUACUGUUUUACAUUUAACAUGCUUUUGUCUUUGAUAUGAAAGAACUUCAUUGUCAAUGUUGUUUGAAAUAUUGCUACUGAAAUAGCAUUUGUUUUGCUCCUUGUGCAUUUUAGUUUUCUUAUAGGUAUGUCAAAAGGAAGAUAUUGAACAGAAAAACUAUUGUUGAUUCUACAUUGAGUUCCCAGUUUUGGCUUCUCAUUCUUUUGUACCAAGCGUUUGAACAAAAUGCAAUAUACUUCUUU